rnacentral:rRNA from 1 species
UUUUAAAUUUAGAGUUUGAUCCUGGCUCAGGACGAACGCUGGCGGCGUGCUUAACACAUGCAAGUCGAGCGAUGAAGCUUCCUUCGGGAAGUGGAUUAGCGGCGGACGGGUGAGUAACACGUGGGUAACCUGCCUCAAAGUGGGGGAUAGCCUUCCGAAAGGAAGAUUAAUACCGCAUAAUAUAGGAGAAUCGCAUGAUUUUCUUAUCAAAGAUUUAUUGCUUUGAGAUGGACCCGCGGCGCAUUAGCUAGUUGGUAAGGUAAUGGCUUACCAAGGCAACGAUGCGUAGCCGACCUGAGAGGGUGAUCGGCCACAUUGGAACUGAGACAC